GCCACGGUGGUCUAGCUUUUAGAACGCUGGCCUUGUAAUCCUGGGGUCUCGGGUUCGAUUCCCGGCGGUGACU
rnacentral:tRNA from 1 species